rnacentral:sRNA from 1 species
CGAUGACGGUCGGCGAGAUGAAGUGGACGUGGGCGUCGAUGGCACCCGCCGUGACGAUCUUCCCGUUGCCCGAGAUGAUCUCGGUCUCGGGGCCGAUCACGAGCGCGGGAUCCACCCCGUCCAUGGUGUCGGGGUUGCCGGCCUUGCCGAUGCCGCAGAUGCGGCCGUCGCGGAUGCCGACGUCGGCCUUGACGAUGCCCCAGUGGUCGAGGACGACGACCCCGGUGAUCACGGUGUCGGGGGCGCCCUCGGCGCGCGUGGUGCGGGCCUGGCCCAUCGACUCG